rnacentral:rRNA from 1 species
UACGUAGGGGGCAAGCGUUGUCCGGAAUCAUUGGGCGUAAAGAGCUCGUAGGCGGCUUGUCGCGUCGGAUGUGAAAGCCCGGGGCUUAACUCCGGGUCUGCAUUCGAUACGGGCAGGCUAGAGUUCGGUAGGGGAGAUCGGAAUUCCUGGUGUAGCGGUGAAAUGCGCAGAUAUCAGGAGGAACACCGGUGGCGAAGGCGGAUCUCUGGGCCGAUACUGACGCUGAGGAGCGAAAGCGUGGGGAGCGAACAGG